AGAGGCCUUUUAAAUAAACCGAUUAUAUAAUGAUGUAAAGUACAUGCCAUUUCAAAGAACAGGCUAUGGCAUCAGAGAGAAUUUAGCAAGCCGAAGAGUUUUCACUUUUCAGAUUUGAAUGUAACCUAGCCGGAACACGAUAUUAACUGGCAGGUUAUGCAGAGAAUGGGAGUGCCUCAAACCUUUUCAAAGCUGGACUACAGGGAAGAUCUUUGCAUUCAGAAAAUCAGAUUCUAUCCGUGGCUUACGUUUGUGCAGAUCCUUCUCAUGGUGGUAAGUAAAUGGGAGGAAAUGUCCUGGGUUGUUGUAUUUACCUUGUGGUGCUUCAAUGUGGGGGUGGCAAUGUGGCCUUCUUGGAAAGUUCUUUCUGUGUAUUUCUAUGAUUUCUCUGGAAAGAAAAAAAAUGCCUUGAGGAACUGA
rnacentral:lncRNA from 1 species